GUAAUGGCUUAUCAAGGCAUCCCACACACUGACGACCUGCUGCAGAGCAUGCUUGGGAACACCAGGCCUUCACUACAAGUUCACAUGAAUUCAAGCUUACAGGGGACUCAUGCAAAGCCCUGUGCCUCGACAGCCAGCAGCACAGCUCUCACGAGUAUCUCCAAAGCUGUUUGUCCAGAGUUUAUUUGGGAUUGGUUUCCUUAAUUUCAUGCAACAGUCAUCAAAGCAAAACAGAAGUGGACGUGCUGCUGUCAGUGUGGAUGUGGAGUCCUCCGUGUCCCCCCUCUGCUCGUUAUCUGCAGGGACUGAAAUUUGGUUUGUUUUUUAUGCUUAGGAGCCAGAGAAAGCUAAGAUACUGCUUAAGUGAAGAGCCAUUAUUUGCUGUUAAUAAAAUUGACACCGUAACACAUUCCGUA
rnacentral:lncRNA from 1 species